rnacentral:lncRNA from 1 species
AUGAUCAAAGAUUUAUUUUGUUUUAUUAAAAAAGAGUUCUGGGGGGCCAGGGAUUUAGCUCGGUGGUUCCAGUGCCUGCCUUGCAAGCGCAAGGUCCUGAGUUCAAUCCUUGGUACCAAAAAACAAAACAAAAGAGUUCUGAUUAUAAAAAGCAUCAAUAGGUGGCAUUUCAUUGUGCUCAUUCACAAAGUCAAAGGGCCACAUAAUAUUCCUCUGUACAACAGGUUAAACUGUCUAGAAAUGCCAUUUGUUGGUUUUUAUUCACAUCGUCAAGUUUAGAAGCUGUAUUUUUGUUUCACUGCCAACCUUCUUGUUCUGCUGUCUUAAUCUGCAAAAGGUUAUUGAUUCUUUCUUUCUUUCCACAUUGAGAUUCUUUCCAUAGCCAGGGCUUAAUUUUUCUUAGGCCUAUUCCAAUUGUCUUACAAAGCAGACACUGACAAUAUUUCCUCCCAAGUACUCCGGAGAUUCCAGCCUGUCGUCUCCUUCUGGUGUGGUCACUGGAGGUUGUUGAGAUGCUUAUUACUGCUGUAGUCACAUAAGGUUGUUCACAGUUCAGUUUAACACACUCUUCAAUUUUGGCAUUUAAGCUGGAUCGGCUGGUGGACAGUGGAGUUCUCUCCACACAUCUGAUCUGAAUCGUACCGAGUUCCUGCACACUGCCUCGAUGGCUUCCUGAUACGUUGGCAUUUGGGAUGCGCAAAGUUUUUUGGUGUCGUCAUGAACAGCAAGUGCUGGUGACUCCUUGUUGUGAGGAGAGAGAGGGGCUGUGACUUAAAGGAUGGUUCACUGUUGCUACUUCCAUGCAGCUUUCUUCAAAGACUUGCUCAUCCACAAACUCAUGAUUCUCCAGAACCCAACACUGUCUGGCCACUGCCUUUCUCUCUGCCUCCUCUGAUCAGUAACUCGAUUUUUCUAAGACUUUAUUCUCAAAGUUAGAAUAGCUCAGAAAGCAGCAAGCACAGGAGUCUAUUAUGCAGUGGGGUCACUUCCUCCUGGCUAUAAAUUCUGCUGCUCUAUUCUUUUACUAUGUUUUAAAUACCUGCACUGUCGCUCUGUACCCCUAUCCACAAGGGACCCAUCUCCAUCUCCAUCUCCUCUGCUGAGGCACCGCCGGGUGUACGGCAGAGGCUCCCUCCACUCCUGCAUUUUCCAGCACAGGACGUGGAGGCCCCGGCAGGCAGCAGCACCUCACUUCACAGAGGCUGAAAAACACAGCCGAGACCAAGAGCUGCCCAGACCCAACCUCCUGGCUCCUCCCUGCUGCUAGUGCUUACAAUCCACACCAGGGGAAGCAGCGAUUCUGAGAAAGAGCAGCUCUCUAUUUGUAAACACUUACCUAAGAAACACUACUCACAAAAGAUUCCGCCAGAGGGAAAAGAGAGUGCUG